rnacentral:rRNA from 1 species
ACGAACGCUGGCGGCGUGCUUAACCCAUGCCAGUCGAACGGAAAGGCCCUGCUUUUGUGGGGUGCUCGAGUGGCGAACGGGUGAGUAACACGUGAGUAACCUGCCCUUGACUUUGGGAUAACUUCAGGAAACUGGGGCUAAUACCGGAUAGGAGCUCCUGCUGCAUGGUGGGGGUUGGAAAGUUUCGGCGGUUGGGGAUGGACUCGCGGCUUAUCAGCUUGUUGGUGGGGUAGUGGCUUACCAAGGCUUUGACGGGUAGCCGGCCUGAGAGGGUGACCGGCCACAUUGGGACUGAGAUACGGCCCAGACUCCUACGGGAGGCAGCAGUGGGGAAUAUUGCACAAUGGGCGGAAGCCUGAUGCAGCAACGCCGCGUGCGGGAUGACGGCCUUCGGGUUGUAAACCGCUUUCGCCUGUGACGAAGCGUGAGUGACGGUAAUGGGUAAGAAGCACCGGCUAACUACGUG